rnacentral:tRNA from 1 species
GACACGGUGGCCUAGUCAGUAGCGUGUUUGGCUCGCAACUGAAAGGUCGUGGGUUCGAAUCCCACCUAAGAUU